UGCCAGGCCGUAGCAUGGGGUCCUGGUCUUCCUGUCAUACAUACAUUACUUACCAUUUUCCCAGGGCCUCCUCUGGGCUCCUGGUCUUCGAGUCCCAUAACCGUACCUUACUCUGUGCCAGGCCGUAGAAUGGGGUCCUGGUCUUUCCUUACUCUGUGCCAGGCCGUAGCAUGGGGUCCUGGUCUUCCUGUCUUGGACUAAUUGGGUCAUCCAACAUUCACCCACAUCAACAACAAUCGAUGCAAUGCGGCAUAUU
rnacentral:lncRNA from 1 species